rnacentral:lncRNA from 1 species
AACCACCACUCACGCUCUCUAAUUCGUAAAAGCAUGGAACACCAUCCCUAAUGGAAGAGGUUAUGCCAACUAACAAGGACAAAUUGCACCACAACGAAGCAGUCAAACAGCUGAAACCAAGCCAAUGGACGAUGCUCUCUGUGGCAUGUAAAACUCAUAUUGUUCUGAAAGCUGUGGCAAAACCUCUGAUCACCGCUAACAUAUGGCAAACACCUGCAAGCACUGAGUAUCAGUCAUCUUCUUCAAUGCUUUUUCAGUAACAGGUCAGGGAGCAAGCCAUGAAGGGGGAAAGGUCUUUAGUCAAACUGCGGAAGAG